rnacentral:rRNA from 1 species
AUGGGCAACCUUGAUCCCAUCUCUAAAGAAACGCGCUAUAGGAAACUCCCUACCAUGCCAAGGAGCCUUUUGAUCUCACCAACAUAUGCAGUUACAGGUGAUCUGUUCAUCUCAACUUCAGAGAGCAUAUUGGCCAACACAAGGCUGUCCGUCUCCACCAUGAAGGGGUGUUCGCUCCACUCUAGAGCAAGGCUAACACCCUCCAUGCAUGCAGCUAGCCGUCUCAGCCUCCAACGCGGAGGUACACGUCAGGAGGUGAAGGCAAGAGGCAAAGAUGAUGGCCCCUGUGGCAAUGCCUACAGUUAG